rnacentral:lncRNA from 1 species
AGUAAAUUAUAUAGCACACCUUCUCUUUUCUUAAUAAAAAUCACGCUUCCCCUUGUCAGUCUUCUCCUCGCCAUCCUCCGCUCUCCUCCACCAUUAACGCCCUUCUCCUCCGCCCUCCUCCACCAUUAACGCUAUUAUCCUCCGCCAUUAACCUAGACAGUCCCCAUCCUCCGCCCUCCUCCACCAUUAACGCCCUUCUCCUCCGCCUUCCUCUACCAUUAACGCCCUUCUCCUUCGCCCUCCUCCACCAUUAACGACAUCCUCCACCAUUAACCUAGACAGUCCCAACUUGUUAAUGUCAUCAUCCACUUGCGAUUUUUUCAUAGUACAGUUGCUGCGAUUUUUUUAUAGUACAGUUGGUAGCCAAACAUUCAUACCAAGGUAACCAAUUCAGUGUUAUUAGGUUUCUAAUUUAUUUUUAAAAAAUCUAUUAUAGAUUUUUUUUAUUUAAUAGUGCAGUUGGUAGCUAACACUUUAUACAAACGUAACCAAUUCAAUUUUAUUGGGUUACUAAUUAAUUAAAAAAAAUCUAUUGUAGAUUUUUUUUUUUAUAAUGCAGUUGGUAGCCAAACCUUAAUACAAAGGUAUCCAAUACAGUUUUAUUGGGUUAUUAAUUAAUUAUAAAAAAUCUAUUAUAGAUUUAUUUAUUUUUGUAGUGCAAUUGGUAGUCAAACCUUAAUACAAAUGUAACCAACAAAAACUAAAAUUGUUACCUUUAAAAGUUUUGGUUACCAACUACACUGAAAUUUCUCUUGGUUACCCACAAAAAUUAAAAUGGUUACUUUUGUAUAAAUAUUUGGAUACUAACUGCACUAAAAUUUAUCUUUUUUUCCUUUUAAUUUCUGAACUAAAUCAACAUUCGUCAUAAUAGCAGCUGUGGCCGUAAUGGAUGAAGAGAUCGGCGUCCAUGGUGUUGAAGCAGUAGCGAAGGGGAGGAGGAAGAUGACCGGCGAAGAGGAGGAGGAAGAUGACGUUGCCAAACUUUGAAUAUUUGAAUUUUAAUUAUUAUUUUUGAAUUUGAAUUUGAAUUUGUUGUUAGAUCCAAGAUAUUUGAAUUUGAAUUAUUAAUUAUUAAUUAUGGUAGUUAUUUCUCCUUGAUUUUAGGUUUCCUUAUUAUUA